AUCAGAUCCGGUCUGCGCAGCUGGGAGUAAUCUGCCUAAUGCACCUUGCUUGCUGGGCGGUGCCACACCCAGUUAUAUCUAGGAGAGGGCUGUGCGUCUCGUACAUGCAUCCUCUUUCCUGUUCCUGGGCCGGAGGGCUACAUUAGUAGCAUGGUUUAGCAUGGAUUUGCGUGGUGGUUUUUGAGACGCUGGCUGUCGAGCUUUCGCUGUUUCCUGUCAUCAGCAGAGUCGGGCCGUAUUCUGGCUGAAGGCUGGGAGCCGGGCGUAAUAAUUCACGCGCUGCAUUGAAUUUCUGAGUGAUUGAGCUGCAUUUUUCUGCGGCUGUCUCCCCUGUUGCCUGAAAAGCUCUGGCUACAUUGACGGGCGGCUCUACUUCCUGAAGCGGGCUACUGCUGUUCUGUCUGCAGUUCAUCGCGGCAAGCUCUUUGCUCAUCGGCAGCUGUUUUGUUGUUGUAUGAUGUUUAAAAAAAAAAAAAAAAAAAAAAAAGAACAACGAUCUUGGUGAGCUGUUGGGCCAGGUGGCUGGUGGCUGACUGAUUUCCCCCGGCGGUGGUGGUCCCUUCACUCCCUGUACAAUAGUGCACUUGGGUGUUCGUCAAUGAUUUUGUUUUUGUUGGAGCCAAAAUAUGGUUACUUUGUUUAGAUUGUUGAUAGUGUUGGUAUGACUGUGUGGGUGUGGCUUUAGGAGCCACGGGGUUGCCCUCUGUUGGGAGUAGACUGCAUAUAUGAUGGCUAAUGAAUGAAUGAAUUCAGGUGUGCAGUUUGGAGAAGGAAGCCGAACAGUUUUCGACCGUGCUCAAACGCCGUGUCAAGCAGAUGAAUGUUGUCAGGUUUUAUAAUGUUGGAAACUUAAUGUUGACUUAAUGAUAACUUACCUGCAGUGCCGUAAAUAAAAGAAACAUCCAGUACAAACGAGCAGAGACACUGUUUUAAUUUGAAGCCGCACGCGUAAGACUGGAGGACACUAACUGCCACCUCAGUGACUACAGGUAAAGUCACUACAGUUUUGUUCACGUGUGGUGUGGUGCAUUAAGACCCUUCCCUUCUCCCCUCCAGUUCGUCAUCGCUGCCUGGUAAAGCCCUCAGCCCUGUGCCUGGUGACUGUUUCGGUGGCACACUUAAUUAAAGUCAGGGGGGGCCCUUGAGGAUUAGAUUAAUACUGUGCCACUUACUACCAAGUUAUGUCUUGGCAUCGCCAACAAGGUCUGUUUUAGAAAGAGUGUACAUUUUUAAAUAUUGUUAAUAAAUUUCAUUUUUCUAUACUUAAA